rnacentral:rRNA from 1 species
AGAUUGAACGCUGGCGGCAGGCUUAACACAUGCAAGUCGAGCGGUAACAUUUCUAGCUUGCUAGAAGAUGACGAGCGGCGGACGGGUGAGUAAUGCUUGGGAAUAUGCCUUAUGGUGGGGGACAACAGUUGGAAACGACUGCUAAUACCGCAUAACGUCUACGGACCAAAGGGGGGGAUCUUCGGACCUCUCGCCAUUUGAUUAGCCCAAGUGAGAUUAGCUAGUAGGUGAGGUAAAGGCUCACCUAGGCGACGAUCUCUAGCUGGUUUGAGAGGAUGAUCAGCCACACUGGGACUGAGACACGGCCCAGACUCCUACGGGAGGCAGCAGUGGGGAAUAUUGCACAAUGGGCGAAAGCCUGAUGCAGCCAUGCCGCGUGUGUGAAGAAGGCCUUCGGGUUGUAAAGCACUUUCAGUUGUGAGGAAAGGUGGUAGUUUAAUAUGCUAUCACUGUGACGUUAACAACAGAAGAAGCACCGGCUAACUUCGUGCCAGCAGCCGCGGUAAUACGAGGGGUGCAAGCGUUAAUCGGAAUUACUGGGCGUAAAGCGUUCGUAGGCGGUCUAUUAAGCAAGAUGUGAAAGCCCAGGGCUCAACCUUGGAACUGCAUUUUGAACUGGUAGACUAGAGUACUGUAGAGGGUGGUGGAAUUUCCAGUGUAGCGGUGAAAUGCGUAGAGAUUGGAAGGAACAUCAGUGGCGAAGGCGGCCACCUGGACAGAUACUGACGCUGAGGAACGAAAGCGUGGGGAGCGAACAGGAUUAGAUACCCUGGUAGUCCACGCCGUAAACGAUGUCAACUAGCCGUUUGUGGACUUGAUCCGUGAGUGGCGCAGCUAACGCACUAAGUUGACCGCCUGGGGAGUACGGCCGCAAGGUUA